UGAAAGGCGACUGUCUGAAGCAGGGAGCUUUUUGUAUUCAUGGAGGCUCUUCACACAUUUUAGAACCCUGGAAAAUGUUGUGCAAAACAACUGGAAAACUGCUUCAGAGUGGGCAAAUGGUCGACUUCUCUUCCUUUAGAAAUCCUCUUCAGCUUGUUGGAUGACUGCUCAUUGAAAGAAGGAGGAAAAGCCACAGUACACUCCAGUCUUGGGCAAAGCCAAGGGACCUUAGAAGAGAAAGGGAUUUAGGGGCAGUCUACACACUGCCUUAUCCAACAACCAUUUUUCUCAUCCUGCUGCAGCAUCUGAUGUAUAUAGGAAGCUGACUUUUGCUGAGUCAAACUUAUUGGUCCAUCUAGCUCAGUAGUGUUGCCUCACACUGACCAGCAGGGGCAUUCCAGAGACUUCCUCAGACCUACCUGGAAAUACCAGGGAUUCAACCUGGGACCUGGCAUGCAAACCUAGCACUAUACUACUGAGCUAUGGCCUAUUCUAUGAAUGCUUUUCCGCAGGUGGAAAUCCCCACCAUGGAAAUUCCAACCAGUGUGCCACCUCCUGGUAUUGUUUGGUACUGCAGAUUGCCUCAAAAGCAAUGUUUAAAAGCACAUGAAAAACAGAACCAACAUCAAGAAUAUUGAACUUACUACACAUCUAAUUGGUCAGACACAGAAACAUAACUUCCAUCAAAAGCUUUACUAAAAAGAUUUCCAAACUACUUCGCAGCCAGAAGCGAUUAAAGCGGUGUACAAUAAGAUAAACAUUAGAUUAUAUACAAGAGAUACAGGGCCGCUUCAGAGGUCCAUUUUAUUGAUGAUUUGUGCUCAUGAUGGUAUCAGGGCAAUUAGACACAAUCACGCUUUCAAUACUGUUUGCACCUGCAAAGGUUUCAGGGUGGAUCAACUGCUUCAUUUGCAAUCAGUGCAUGUUUGUAACUUCCUGCUGAAAUCCUGUAACUUCUUAUACCACAAAUAUUCUGGUUUAUUUUUUGUCAUCCUUUAGUUGUGCUAUAGUGCAAAAGUGGCCCUCCAGAUGGCAAUAAUGUGGUAAUGGGCACUCCAGCCUAAUUAUCCUACAAACUACCUUUUUGUACUCUCGGUUCAAAAACAUUGUAGAGCUUUCACAAUGGCACGUUUUAAUGUCCUCCCUUCAGCAAUUAUGGAGGAAUAUAUCCCUUACUAUAAUCGUAAGUGCCCUUAUGACUCUGGAGAGGUGUAAAUGGUCACCCAUGUUCUCCUGUACUGUUCAUUCUACCGUGAUUUUACAUAGAACUCUAAUUGAACCUCUCCUACUGAAAUCCCCAGGGCAAUCAGAGGCAUUCUGUGUUUCUUUAUUCCUUUCUGACCAAAAUACAUUUAUUAUUUUUAGAGUUGCCAAAUUUUGCACUGCAGCAAGUAAAACUUGCCAGGAACUGACCCUAGCCAUCUUGUAACCUUUUUUGUUUUCCCCCUCUUGGAACUUCAUAAUCUUAUGUCUUAACUUACCUUAUACUAUCAUGUUUUAACAAUUUUAUCUUUUAUUUUCUUACCCCAUUUUAUUGCAUUUUAUUCUUCUGUAUAUUAGGAUAAUCUCCUCUUAUGAGAGUUUUAUGUCUCUAUUUUAUGCUGGUCAUUGACUGUAACAAUAAAGAUUUGAUUUGUGGUAAUGGGAAAGCAUCACCGAACAGCUAAUAAAGAAUGGUCCAGCAUAAAUCCACCACAUCAGCCAUCUCUGUCUCCAUUGUCUUUUUGGCAGGUACUGAAGGCC